rnacentral:lncRNA from 1 species
CAAGAAUUUCAUUCUGAGGCAAUCAUGAGAAUUUUUCUAGAAUCAUCUCUUUAUUGCUGUCUGCUCAGAACAAUCAAAACUGGUAGCGGGAAGAGAAUCAGUGUAGGAAGGCAACAUUGACAAGGCCAAACAACGAAGUGGUGACUCACUGAGUCCUUGCACUCUCGAAGGAAACAACCACCUUAGAAAAAACCAUGCACUUUCGGCGGGGGCUUAAUCACAUUAGGUUCUCUGUGUAGCAUAUUAAUGCCUGCCACAAGGGUGCUAUCAACCAGAAUCUUCAGUGAAUCUUCUUUGUCUGAAUUGCACAUAUCUCAGAGGAGAAUAGAGAAUGUGUAAGGACACCGUGGCCCAUGCAUUGACACUGUCAUAGAUAAAGCAUAGUUACUCGCUAUCAGUUCUACCCACAGCCAAAGUCCAGGUUCCACCUCCUUUAGCAAGCCUUCUCGAAGGACUCCAUGCCUCACUGAUCUUCCUCCUCACUGAACGCCACAGACCAAGAACCCAUAAUGUCCUCCUCAGGAACCAGCACAGUCCCAAAGUCCACAGAACUCAAAAGAACGCUGGUAGAUUGAUUUGCUCUACCAUCAUCUCAACAGUGCUUUCCUCGGGUGUAGCAUGAUGCAUUUUAACACAAUUAAAAUGACAUGUUAGAAAUGUUGCUGAUGGGGUUGCUGGGGCAAUGACUUCUUUCAAAGUCUUCCCUCUAUUUACUGCACUCAUGGAAGUGAGUCUCAUGGGAAGCUAUGUCUUAGCUGAAAGCCUGUCUUCAAAGUCCUUUGGCAAGGAAGUUUUCUGUUAUGAAUAAAUUAGUAUCACAAGUAACUUUUUCAAGUGUUUUUCCAUACAAUUGACACUUCUAAUAAUGAAAAAGAAUCAAGCUUCUGACUCUGCACACAGUGGCAAAUAUUGGCAUGUGUAAUCUGGGGCCUGUUGGGUGAAGAUCCUUAAGUUACCACAACCUAUUGGUAGAGUGUCUCUAAAUUUUGGAUGUAGCCAGUCCCAAACUGACUUGUAAAAGUGUCAGCUUGGACAGUGUUUCACAAACUGGGAUUGGAGAAAGACCACAGUUCUGAAAGAUGCUGCUCGGUAUUGCUCAGUGCUACUAGAUGGACUUGGUGUUGAGAGCAUGAG